AUUGAACGCUGGCGGCAGGCCUAACACAUGCAAGUCGCACGAGUGGCGGACGGGUGAGUAAUGUCUGGGAAACUGCCUGAUGGAGGGGGAUAACUACUGGAAACGGUAGCUAAUACCGCAUACCAUCAGAUGUGCCCAGAUGGGAUUAGCUUGUUGGUGGGGUAACGGCUCACCAAGGCGACGAUCCCUAGCUGGUCUGAGAGGAUGACCAGCCACACUGGAACUGAGACAAGGUGCAGACACGUACGGGAGGCAGCAGUGGGGAAUAGUGCACAAUGGGGGCAAGCCGGAUGCAGCCAUGCCGCGUGUAUGAAGAAGGCCUUCGGGUUGUAAAGUACUUUCAUCGGGGAGACGUUACCCGCAGAAGGAGCGCCGGAUAACUCCGUGCGAGCAGGCGCGGUAAUAC
rnacentral:rRNA from 1 species